rnacentral:rRNA from 1 species
AACGAACGCUGGCGGCAUGCCUAACACAUGCAAGUCGAACGAGACCUUCGGGUCUAGUGGCGCAAGGGUGCGUAACGCGUGGGAACCUGCCCUUAGGUUCGGAAUAACUCCCCGAAAGGGGUGCUAAUACCAAAUAAUGUCUUCGGACCAAAGAUUUAUCGCCUUUGGAUGGGCCCGCGUUGGAUUAGCUAGUUGGGAGGGUAAAAGCCUACCAAGGCGACGAUCCAUAGCUGGUCUGAGAGGAUGAUCAGCCACACUGGGACUGAGACACGGCCCAGACUCCUACGGGAGGCAGCAGUGGGGAAUAUUGGACAAUGGGCGAAAGCCUGAUCCAGCAAUGCCGCGUGAGUGAUGAAGGCCUUAGGGUUGUAAAGCUCUUUUAACCGGGAUGAUAAUGACAGUACCGGGAGAAUAAGCUCCGGCUAACUCCGUG